rnacentral:rRNA from 1 species
AUAAUGGGUCAGCGACUUAUAUUCUGUAGCAAGGUUAACCGAAUAGGGGAGCCGAAGGGAAACCGAGUCUUAACUGGGCGUUAAGUUGCAGGGUAUAGACCCGAAACCCGGUGAUCUAGCCAUGGGCAGGUUGAAGGUUGGGUAACACUAACUGGAGGACCGAACCGACUAAUGUUGAAAAAUUAGCGGAUGACUUGUGGCUGGGGGUGAAAGGCCAAUCAAACCGGGAGAUAGCUGGUUCUCCCCGAAAGCUAUUUAGGUAGCGCCUCGUGAAUUCAUCUCCGGGGGUAGAGCACUGUUUCGGCAAGGGGGUCAUCCCGACUUACCAACCCGAUGCAAACUGCGAAUACCGGAGAAUGUUAUCACGGGAGACACACGGCGGGUGCUAACGUCCGUCGUGAAGAGGGAAACAACCCAGACCGCCAGCUAAGGUCCCAAAGUCAUGGUUAAGUGGGAAACGAUGUGGGAAGGCCCAGACAGCCAGGAUGUUGGCUUAGAAGCAGCCAUCAUUUAAAGAAAGCGUAAUAGCUCACUGGUCGAGUCGGCCUGCGCGGAAGAUGUAACGGGGCUAAACCAUGCACCGAAGCUGCGGCAGCGACGCUGAUGCGUUGUUGGGUAGGGGAGCGUUCUGUAAGCCUGUGAAGGUGUGCUGUGAGGCAUGCUGGAGGUAUCAGAAGUGCGAAUGCUGACAUAAGUAACGAUAAAGCGGGUGAAAAGCCCGCUCGCCGGAAGACCAAGGGUUCCUGUCCAACGUUAAUCGGGGCAGGGUGAGUCGACCCCUAAGGCGAGGCCGAAAGGCGUAGUCGAUGGGAAACAGGUUAAUAUUCCUGUACUUGGUGUUACUGCGAAGGGGGGACGGAGAAGGCUAUGUUGGCCGGGCGACGGUUGUCCCGGUUUAAGCGUGUAGGCUGGUUUUCCAGGCAAAUCCGGAAAAUCAAGGCUGAGGCGUGAUGACGAGGCACUACGGUGCUGAAGCAACAAAUGCCCUGCUUCCAGGAAAAGCCUCUAAGCAUCAGGUAACAUCAAAUCGUACCCCAAACCGACACAGGUGGUCAGGUAGAGAAUACCAAGGCGCUUGAGAGAACUCGGGUGAAGGAACUAGGCAAAAUGGUGCCGUAACUUCGGGAGAAGGCACGCUGAUAUGUAGGUGAAGUCCCUCGCGGAUGGAGCUGAAAUCAGUCGAAGAUACCAGCUGGCUGCAACUGUUUAUUAAAAACACAGCACUGUGCAAACACGAAAGUGGACGUAUACGGUGUGACGCCUGCCCGGUGCCGGAAGGUUAAUUGAUGGGGUCAGCGCAAGCGAAGCUCUUGAUCGAAGCCCCGGUAAACGGCGGCCGUAACUAUAACGGUCCUAAGGUAGCGAAAUUCCUUGUCGGGUAAGUUCCGACCUGCACGAAUGGCGUAAUGAUGGCCAGGCUGUCUCCACCCGAGACUCAGUGAAAUUGAACUCGCUGUGAAGAUGCAGUGUACCCGCGGCAAGACGGAAAGACCCCGUGAACCUUUACUAUAGCUUGACACUGAACAUUGAGCCUUGAUGUGUAGGAUAGGUGGGAGGCUUUGAAGUGUGGACGCCAGUCUGCAUGGAGCCGGCCUUGAAAUACCACCCUUUAAUGUUUGAUGUUCUAACGUUGACCCGUGAUCCGGGUUGCGGACAGUGUCUGGUGGGUAGUUUGACUGGGGCGGUCUCCUCCUAAAGAGUAACGGAGGAGCACGAAGGUUGGCUAAUCCUGGUCGGACAUCAGGAGGUUAGUGCAAUGGCAUAAGCCAGCUUGACUGCGAGCGUGACGGCGCGAGCAGGUGCGAAAGCAGGUCAUAGUGAUCCGGUGGUUCUGAAUGGAAGGGCCAUCGCUCAACGGAUAAAAGGUACUCCGGGGAUAACAGGCUGAUACCGCCCAAGAGUUCAUAUCGACGGCGGUGUUUGGCACCUCGAUGUCGGCUCAUCACAUCCUGGGGCUGAAGUAGGUCCCAAGGGUAUGGCUGUUCGCCAUUUAAAGUGGUACGCGAGCUGGGUUUAGAACGUCGUGAGACAGUUCGGUCCCUAUCUGCCGUGGGCGCUGGAGAACUGAGGGGGGCUGCUCCUAGUACGAGAGGACCGGAGUGGACGCAUCACUGGUGUUCGGGUUGUCAUGCCAAUGGCACUGCCCGGUAGCUAAAUGCGGAAGAGAUAAGUGCUGAAAGCAUCUAAGCACGAAACUUGCCCCGAGAUGAGUUCUCCCUGACUCCUUGAGAGUCCUGAAGGAACGUUGAAGACGACGACGUUGAUAGGCCGGGUGUGUAAGCGCAGCGAUGCGUUGAGCUAAC